rnacentral:tRNA from 1 species
GUGCUGAUGGGAAUUAGUUGGAGAUUGUAUCCUGCUCGACACGCAGGAGGUCGGUGGUUCAAGUCCACUACGGCCCA